UUGCUUUUCCGCCGGCGACCGGCGCACGGGUGCGGAACGCGUAUGGAACCUGCCCCUGUCAGGGGAAUAGCCCAGGGAAACUUGGAUUAAUGCCCCAUGGUACCAUUAUAUCGCAUGAUAUUAUGGUUAAAGAUUUAUCGGACAGGGAUGGCCAUGCGUACCAUUAGUUAGAUGGUGAGGUAACGGCUCACCAUGGCAGCGAUGGUUAGGGGCCCUGAGAGGGGGAUCCCCCACACUGGUACUGAGACACGGACCAGACUCCUACGGGAGGCAGCAGUGAGGAAUAUUGGACAAUGGUCGGGAGACUGAUCCAGCCAUGCCGCGUGCAGGAUGACUGCCCUAUGGGUUGUAAACUGCUUUUAUACGGGAAGAAACCACCCUACGUGUAGGGUGCUGACGGUACCGUAAGAAUAAGGACCGGCUAACUCCGUGCCAGCAGCCGCGGUAAUACGGAGGGUCCGAGCGUUAUCCGGAAUCAUUGGGUUUAAAGGGUCCGUAGGCGGGCCUGUAAGUCAGGGGUGAAAGUUUGUGGCUCAACCAUAAAAUUGCCUUUGAUACUGCAGGUCUUGAGUCAUGGUGGGGUUGCCGGAAACAUGUGGUGUAGCGGUGAAAUGCAUAGAUAUCACAUAGAAACACCGAUCGGAAGGCAGGUGACCAACCAUGUACUGACGCUGAUGGACGAAAGCGUGGGUAGCGAACGGGAUUAGAUACCCCGGUAGUCCACGCCGUAAACGAUGGAUACUAGCUGUGGGGACUUCGGUCUCCGUGGCCAAGCGAAAGUGAUAAGUAUCCCACCUGGGGAGUACGUUCGCAAGAAUGAAACUCAAAGGAAUUGACGGGGGCCCGCACAAGCGGUGGAGCAUGUGGUUUAAUUCGAUGAUACGCGAGGAACCUUACCAGGGCUUAAAUGCAGGCUGCAUGGGGUAGAGAUACCCCUUUCUUCGGACUGCCUGCAAGGUGCUGCAUGGUUGUCGUCAGCUCGUGCCGUGAGGUGUCAGGUUAAGUCCUAUAACGAGCGCAACCCCUACCGUUAGUUGCCAGCAUGUCAAGAUGGGGACUCUAACGGGACUGCCGGUGCAAACCGUGAGGAAGGUGGGGACGACGUCAAAUCAUCACGGCCCUUACGUCCUGGGCCACACACGUGCUACAAUGGCCGGUACAGAGGGAAGCCACCCCGCAAGGGGGCGCGGAUCUAUAAAACCGU
rnacentral:rRNA from 1 species